rnacentral:rRNA from 1 species
UUGGUCCAUUUAGAGGAAGUAAAAGUCGUAACAAGGUUCCGUAGGUGAACCUGCGGAAGGAUCAUUAUUGAAAUAAGCUUGGUUGGGUUGUUGCUGGCUCUGAGGGGCAUGUGCACACCUAGCACCAACUUUCUUACCACCUGUGCACUUUUUGUAGACUUUGGAAAAAAAAAAUACCUCUUGGUUUGAGGACUGUCGUGCGCAAGCCGGCUUUCCUUGCACUUUCCAGUCUAUGUUUUAUAAUAUACACCUAAAGUAUGUUUCAGAAUGUCAUUUAAUGGGCAUAACUGCCUUUAAUUACCAUACAACUUUCAACAACGGAUCUCUUGGCUCUCGCAUCGAUGAAGAACGCAGCGAAAUGCGAUAAGUAAUGUGAAUUGCAGAAUUCAGUGAAUCAUCGAAUCUUUGAACGCACCUUGCGCUCCUUGGUAUUCCGAGGAGCAUGCCUGUUUGAGUGUCAUUAAAUUCUCAACCUUUUCAAUCUUUUAUUGGUUGAAUUAGGUUUGGAUGUGGGAGUCUUUCUGCUGGCUUCUUUAAGAGGUCGGCUCUCCUUAAAUUUAUUAGCAGGACCUUUGUUGCCCUCUCAGCGUUAGUGUGAUAAUUAUCUACGCUAUUUGCUGAAAGCAACUCAUAAAAAUAGGGUUUCCAGCUGCUAAUCGUCUCUUGUAGACAAUUUAUAUGACAAUUUGACCUCAAAUCAGGUAGGAACUACCCGCUGAACUUAAGCAUAUCAUAGGCGGGAGGA